UUGCUGUGAACAGUGAAAUAGAAAAUGAAAAACAUUCAGGGCAUUAUAUGAAGCCCAGCAGUCAUGCUCCAUAUGGUUUGAAGAGUUGAGCAACGCUUGAUAAAGAUUUUACAACUUCAUUUGCUUAACAUUUGUAUGAUUGCUUUGAUCUAGCCCUCCCAGCCCAUUCCUGGACUGAAAAACAUGAGGCAUUUAAAACAAAGAAAUCUGUUUUUAUUAAUGGAGCAUUUUAUAUUGAUUUUAAUCUUGUGUGUUGUUGGUGUUUUAAUAUGCAGUUUUAUUACCAUCAAGCCUUUUCAAAGAUUACCUUGUGGUUAUGGCAAUGGAUUGGAACUAGUGAGAUCUGAUUGCCAAAUCUGCCACAGCCGUCCUACAUAAUCUUAGGCAUGUAAUUUAAUCUCUUUGUGACUCUAUUCCCCACCUGUAAAAUGGAGAUAUUAGCACUUCCCUAUCUCACAGGGGCAUUUUGAGCAUAGAUACAAUAAAGAUUGUGUCAUGCUCAGAUAUGAUAAUGAUGAGAGCUAAGUAAAGACCUAAGGUGGAUAGAUGGGGACCAUAUACAUAGGUAGAUAGGAAAGUACGGUAGAAUACUCCUGGAACAAUGUGGAGUAUAAAUAAAAUGUAUUCUCAGUCCAAUAAUACUAUAUGUUUAAUAACUGUUUUGUGUUAAAAAAAAGCAUAACACAUAUGUAACACAGUCUUCAAAGCACUUUACAAACAUUAAGUAAUGUUUAUGGCACCCUUGUGAGGUGAGUGUUGUUGCCAUGUCAGAGACAAGGUAAUGGAGGCUCAAAGCAGUAAAGUGAAUUUCCUGAGGAAACAGAUGUCACUGUUGGGUUUGGAACACAGAAUUUCCUGGCUCCCAAACCUGUGCUCAGACCAUUAGAUCAUGCCCUUCUUUUUAGUUUUAAUCAACCCUUUCAAAUACACACACACACACACACACACACAUACAUACACACACAUACAUACACACACACAUGCAUAAAACCCUCAUUAAACAAUGCAAUAAUGAUCAUCAGACUGAUUGUUCUGCAAUAAUCAUGUCUCAUCGAUACUCCUCUAACUAAACCAUACCGCGUAGUUGUUUCCCUACAGAAAAAGAAGUUCAUAUUCUCCUUCAAAUACAUGUGCACAGUUUGCAUACAUUGUCACCAUAUAACCACUGGAUUGUGGAGGAAAGAAGGAGUGUGGUCUAGUGGUUGGAACAGAUGGGGAAACAGAAGAAAAGAGAGGCCAAAGGCAUAAACCAAAGCCUCCCAAUGUGAGAGAGACACCUAUGGACUUCAAUGUAAAGACUCUUAUUGACUUUGGCUUUGGGCUUGAUCCAGAUUUCCACUAAAGAGACUAGAAAGAGAACUCACAUCUUCCAUCUCUCAAUCCAACUCACCAACUUUAAUACAGUUAUUUCAGUAUAGUAGUCACAGUUGCUAUGCCUACCAAACCAAAAUAUGUGCUUUAGUCAGGCCAUGUAUAUCAGGAGAUGACCAGGUCCUUGUCAUUUUAUGUACUAUUUUGAGUUGAGUUUAGUUUUAUUUUAGAUUUUAUUUUUGUUUGUUGGUAAAAUGAGUCUUAAAUCCAUUUCGCUGUUUCGAGACAGAAAAGUGCAUAAUAAAAUGGUAGCCCAAGAUGCACUUCAGUCGAGUUGGUUGGGAAAGAUGCCCCACAGCAUGGUGUGUUUCCAUGGGGAAAGGUUCAUUGUUGUUGGAAAUCUCCAGAGCCAUGUAAAUGAAUGCCCCUCCUAGGCCCACAAGCACACAUCCAGAGCACAGUACAGCUAAGAAGAACAUAAGGUCUGUGGAGCCAUGUGGGAAAACCCAUCCUGCCAUAUAAAUUAUAAACCCUAGGCAUUUUUUAGUAAUUCAUGUAAUCCUCACUUUAUAGAGGAUUCUACUUCUGGGAUUCAUUGCUGGCUUUCAAACCAGUAACCACAAGCAGUCCCUCUUCUAGACGUAAAGUAGCAGUCAUCCACAACCAUAAACAUACAACCACAGUCACCCCACAAACUCAAACAGACAGCCAUAAAAACCUCAUAUAGUUCUAAACCUCUGCCCGAAGUAAUCUCUUCCUACAUCAUGUCAUAAAAUACCUAACCUCAUCUGCAAGUUCUCUGCGACAGGGAUUCUUGGCAGGAUUUUCAAAUGUAUCGACAGCCCCUGAAAUCAGGCCUCAAGUUCAUACUCUCUGCAUAAGAUUUCAUUGGCUAUCUAUGGUACCAUGUACAAAUAUUACAUAAUCCUCCUAGUAAACAGAUAUAUAAACAAUAUCAAAGACUCAAGAAAUGUAUCCACAAAAUGGGUCCCCCCCACAGCAUUGUUUGGGCUCCUUUUCAUUCUAAAAUGAAAUUUAAAAAAAAUCAGAGAAAACUGCCUUAUUAACAAAAGCUAUUACAGUAAUCGAAACACCACAUUAAGCUUUGCUUGCACAGCACUAGACACAAUCAGAAACAUACAUUAGUCAUUUAGAUACAAGAUAAUUUACUGUAUUUUAAGGUCAUGUGGCAUGCUGAGCUCCCGCUUCUCCUUCUGAGCUGUUGUCCUCUUUGAGGUUUGGUGGCUGAAAAACACACCACCAUUUUAACAGAUAAAGGAUUACUAUUAACAACUGGUCGAUGAAAACAGCAACAGAUAUAAACUCACCCACCUGCUCUGGAAGCAGCUACAGAGUUUUGAUUGUAUAUUACCGUAACAGAAUGAUUGUGUGGCACAUCCAUAGGCAGUUAGGCGCCACCUAAAGGGUGUGGCUCCUCCCAGAUGGCAAGAACCCCUGAUUCAAGAAGUAACCUGAGUUUCCUGUGCUUCCUGCUUUGGGGGAAGAAGUAGUACCAGCUUCCUGGGCGGAGCUGCUCCUGUACCCCCUUCAGUAAUAAAAUACAUGCUCUGUUUACUGAGUUCACGCCAGCAUCCAUCCAGCUUUCCAGGGACUUUGCCUGUUUGUGAUACUCCACCACUAAGGAGACCACAAGGUCACGCAACAUUACGCUAAGGCCCUGCAGUUUAUUACUUAAUUUUAGUGAAAGGACGUAUGGCUGCUGGCUUUACCCAUUUCUGUUUUAAAUGUGGAGUAGACUUGAGCUCUGGAGCAGGAAGGCAGAGUUGAUGGUGCUUUGAGAUUAGGGCAACUUUGUUUCUUGCCCCUCCUCUCUCUCCUGGCUGUAUUUAUGGUUUACCAUAAUGUAAUAUAAUCUGAGUUGAUAACUGCAUGGUAGGAACAGGUUAAACAAGGAUAAUUGUGAACUACAUAAAUGUAGAUGCCAAAAUAAAUUUCAUAAUCCAGGGAUGAAGGAGAGAUGGAGAAUGAGGUGGAAGAAUGUCCCCAGCUCUUUAUCUUUCUCUCUGUAGAGGAAUAAAGCAUAAUGUAAAUCCUAGUUGUGGGAAUUUACUCUCAUCCUUUUGCAUGGCCAUGUACAUCCACGGUAAAGUAUCUUGGGCAUUCCUGAUAUUAAUCAUGACCAGCAAAAUCUCUGUUAUAGGGCCCUACAAGGUUAUGCAUGUCUGAUGUCAAGAAAGGCAGUUUCUAUAACCUAGCCAAGCAGAUGAUAUUGAGACAUUCUUAAAUCAGAUUCAGAAUGGAGCCAUUAGUGUUCACUAGAUUCAUAAAUUAGUUGUUUAUUUCUGGUCAGUUUAACGGAACAAGCAGUUGAUAGACACAUAUACAAAUGUAUAGUAUAUGAUGAUUCAGUAUGCCUACACAUUCAGUCUAUAGGCCUGUAUUCACACAUACGUGCACAGGUGUGAUCACAGGGACAUUUGUAUUGUGUGGGGCUCCACUCCUUCUUAGAAUGAAAACAUCCAAGAAUCUUAAAGAAGAUUUCUGUAAGUGGAACAAAGGCAAAUAAGAAUUCAUGUCUGACCUCAUCUGACACAAAUACAGCUAUUAAAAAGGGAUUAACAACUUGCACACACAACAAAGGUUAUAGCCAGUCAUUAAGAGACUAUUUGACUUUCUAUACAAUUAGGACACAUUACAAGUCAGCCCAGGGUUAUGCUUGAGUGGGAGAGAUGCCGAGUAAAAGAAAAACUUACAAAUUUACAUGGAGAAACUCUGACAACUCACUGAAGAGGCGUAUGAGGCUGUGACUUAAAACAUCCUGGGAAGUGUUCCACUGAUGCCAAGAGAUGGAAACUACAAGCGAGCCAUAAAGUGAAACAACACAUAAGAAUUCCAAAUACAUAUGCUCCAUUUGUUCGAUGAGAAACAGCAGACCCACCUACAAGACAGUUCUUAAUGAUAUUUUCGUUGUGCUCUGCUAAUGUUAAUGCUCCUACUUUUUAUAUGUAUCUGUAGCUCUUCAAAAAUAAAUCCACCAGAGGGUUUGUUUAGUUUGCAAAAUAACAGAUUAAACUAAAGUAAAAAGAUAUACCAAUGACAGCUUUAAACUGGAUGAAUAUUUCUCUCUCCCCAUGCCGACCUGUAACAAGUAAUAAAAAGUUGUAAUAACUUUUUCAUACCAUAUGUGUUAUAUGUCUGUCCCCAUGGGAUCUUUUCCAUCCAAUGAGCUUGUUGGAUGGCUGGCCCUUGUUGUAAAUUGGUAAAAAUGAAAGAAUUAACUGAUUUCUGACUUUGCUGAAGUUCUGCAAAAAAUUAAGGAAGUGCUUCCAGAAAUGGGUUUUGUUUUUAUGGAUUAAAUUUGCUUUCUGUUUGUGCGAAGCACAUAGGUAUGUUAUAUAUGUAAAACAGCUAACCAGGAUGCAUCUCUUAACGAGUAGUACAGUGGGCAGCUGUCAUUCCUCUGUACCACAAGCUGACGGGCAAAAUUAUUGUCUGCACCAGUCAUUUGGUACAACAGAAAUAAAGUUAUUGUAAUAUUAUGUUCUGGUUGCCUUCUCCACCCCAAUUUUGAUGUGAGACAAUGUGUUGCAAUUUUAAAAAAAAGAGUAAGUUGUUUAUUAGUUCAUAACAUGCUAGAUUUUUUUAUUGGUUAAUUAAUAUUUCACUUUAAAUGUGAAAAAGAUAACUUUUUAAUAUUUUAACUGUUUUCACUUCUACUACAUUGUUUCCUUGUAUAUUUGAUAAUUACCUACAAUAAUUUCCAUUAAAGCUGUCAGUAAGAAACUAA